rnacentral:misc_RNA from 1 species
AAAGUCGUAACAAGGUAUCCGUAGGUGAACCUGCGGAUGGAUCAUUCAUGAGAGGACUACACUUUAUUGUGUGUGUCCGAUUGUCCUGUGCAAUGUUUUACUGGUGUAACUCUGGCACACACUACCUAUGUGUGUGUGUGUGUGCCAGACGUUUCUUUUCAAACUAUUCAUUCAAUAUCAUUCUGAUACAAACAUAAAGAACCUUGAAAACUGCCAGCAACGGAUCCCUCGGUUCUC